CAAACCCAGGCAGCCUGGGGCUGUACUGAAUACUGCAGGCAAUUUGCAACACAAUGGUAACACGAAAUACAGGCAGCUCUCCUUCUGAGUGCUUGUUAAGAUGGGAUUUGUCUGCUCUGUUAGAGACAUGUGCAGUCAUAUGACUUUUCUCAUCUGGGAAAAUAUGGAAGAGUUGGAAAAUUGAGGAGCAGUGUACAGUUGGGUGUCUAGUAG
rnacentral:lncRNA from 1 species